rnacentral:rRNA from 1 species
CCUACGGGAGGGAGCAGUGAGGAAUAUUGGUCAAUGGACGAGAGUCUGAACCAGCCAAGUAGCGUGAAGGAUGACUGCCCUAUGGGUUGUAAACUUCUUUUAUAUGGGAAUAAAGUGUUCCACGUGUGGGAUUUUGUAUGUACCAUAUGAAUAAGGAUCGGCUAACUCCGUGCCAGCAGCCGCGGUAAUACGGAGGAUCCGAGCGUUAUCCGGAUUUAUUGGGUUUAAAGGGAGCGUAGGUGGGUUGUUAAGUCAGUUGUGAAAGUUUGCGGCUCAACCGUAAAAUUGCAGUUGAAACUGGCAGUCUUGAGUACAGUAGAGGUGGGCGGAAUUCGUGGUGUAGCGGUGAAAUGCUUAGAUAUCACGAAGAACUCCGAUUGCGAAGGCAGUUCACUGAACUGCAACUGACACUGAGGCUCGAAAGUGUGGGUAUCAAACAGGAUUAGAUACCCUGGUAGUC